ACAGUUUCCUUCGAGGAAGUAGAAGUAUCUUCCGAAGGGCUCUAAAACAGAGGCUCCAACCUCUGCUUUCAAGGUGAAACUUGAUACACGUUGAAGUGAGAGCAUUAGUGCCACCCAGCAGAUGCAGAUAGGAACAGCACAGGAAACAGGGAAACAGGUUUAGUGAAAUAUAGGCAACAGAGAGCUCUGCAGAGACGUCUUACCAGGGAGCGGCCAUUUUCCCCUCUCUGGCUUACCAUCUCAGAGGACUCGGGUCUCCAAAUGCCACGCCACCCCAAAUUGCAAGCCACACUAUGAAAAUAGCAGUUACAUCUCUUGGACCUUUAAAUCCAACAGAACAACCACUUUUAGCUGCUGAAAAAGAACAGAGAAUAUUAGCAAUCAGGGCAACUACUGGAAAUGGAAGGUUGAUGUUGGCUCAAUGUGUGUGUUUAUACAGGAAGUCUAAGAUCAAGACAGAUUAUAAAUUUUGGGCAGAAAAGGAUGCCACUGGAAUGAGGGCAGUAAACAGGCUGAGGAACUGAAGGACAGGAGCACAAGAGAGCAUGGUAUGGGACCACCACUGAGGAACUUCUAUUCCUUUUCCCAACUAUCAAUGAAUUAGUGCUAUCACAGGCCAUGCUGUUGUGAAAUAAGUCUCAUCACAUCCAAAUAGACCAGACUAUUUUAUAAAGGUGAAUUGUGCCUGAAGAAGUCCAAUUCAUUAUGUUACACAAGCAACACUAAGGAAGUAUGAAGAUACUUCAGUGUUUGUAGGACAAGAAAUAAACCAAGGUAUUUCCAGGGCACAGAGAAAUAUUACAUGGGAAAACCCAAAGCACCCCUAAAUCAUUAAGCCUACCUGAACCGGAAAGAAGAUCCUUACGAACUGCUAAUAUGGUUAUCAGUUAUAUACUUGGAAUAUACAAGGAGAAACAAGUCAAAAAGAAAAGCAUCAGAGGUAGAAUCUUGCUGUGUAACUUCCAGAAUUGAGGAAAUGCAGCAGGAAUCACUGUUUCCCCCCAAUAAUGCCACAUAUUCUAAAAGACUCAACACUACCUGUGUGGGAUGCACCAAAGAGGAAAUUUACAGUUAAAUUAAAACAGCAUGAAUGGUUUGCUAUCAGAAUAAUAUACUCCCUAAUAAUCCCUGGGACAUUUCCAUCUGGACAGAUGAAGAUGGCUGCAUAGAACCAAAGGACAGGAACCCUCCAGAGGCUGCUUUUCAAUAUUUACACUGAACCCAGUGCAUGCUGGGAAAGGCUUCAGGAGUUCACAUAACAUUGUACAAAUUCUCAUGGAGGCUAUGCGAUGCAGACAUGAUCAAUAAACUUCAUAGUUAUGUGUCUCAGUGUAGAGUCUCUGUUCAUUGAUGUAGGGAGCUCUGGGGAUU